CCAGGUAUUCACCAUGACAUAUUCCAUCCAUAACCAGGUAUUCACCAUGACAUAUUCCAUCCAUAACCAGGUAUUCACCAUGACAUAUUCCAUCCAUAACCAGGUAUUCACCAUGACAUAUUCCAUCCAUAACCAGGUAUUCACCAUGACAUAUUCCAUCCAUAACCAGGUAUUCACCAUGACAUAUUCCAUCCAUAACCAGGUAUUCACCAUGACAUAUUCCAUCCAUAACCAGGUAUUCACCAUGACAUAUUCCAUCCAUAACCAGGUAUUCACCAUGACAUAUUCCAUCCAUAACCAGGUAUUCACCAUGACAUAUUCCAUCCAUAACCAGGUAUUCACCAUGACAUAUUCCAUCCAUAACCAGGUAUUCACCAUGACAUAUUCCAUCCAUAACCAGGUAUUCACCAUGACAUAUUCCAUCCAUAACCAGGUAUUCACCAUGACAUAUUCCAUCCAUAACCAGGUAUUCACCAUGACAUAUUCCAUCCAUACGCAGCAGCCCAGGUAUUCACCAUGACAUAUUCCAUCCAUAAGCAGGUAUUCACCAUGACAUAUUCCAUC